ensembl:lncRNA
GUACCAGAGAGGAUACUUUGAUGAGGAAAUGAACCAGAUCCUCGAUGACCCUGACGAUGACACCAAGGGCUUUUUUGACCCCAACACACAAGAGAACCUCACCUACUUGCAGCUUCUGGAGAGGUGUGUGAGGGACCCAGACAGUGGUCUUAGCUUUCUGUCUCUGAAUAAAUGAGCUCAUACGGAUUUGUCGUAAAAUUGUUUUCAAAGAUGUGCAGAUGUUUUAUCUUUAUUUUAUCACAUAUAAAUGCUUUCUUUGUUGAUGUUUGGCGAAUUAUUCUGAAUUGAAUAUAAUAAAAAGCCAUUUUUUAAGUGAAUUUUGUUAUUGUGAAGUUAUCCACAAUUAUAUUGUACAGUGCCUUUGGAAAGUUUUCACACCUCUUGACGUUUAUUCUACAAUGUAUUACAUCUUUUUUCCCCUCAUAAAUAUACACAAUAUACCCAAUAAUGACAAAGCCAAAACAUUUUUUUUUACAUCUUAAAAAUAACAUAAAACUUAUAAAUAACAUUUCCAUACAUUUUCAGACCCUUUACUCAAUACCUUUUUGAAGAUCUUUUGUCAGCGAUUGUAACCUUCAGUCUUUUUUGUUAUGACGCUACAAGCUUGGCACAUAUGUAUUUAGGGAGUGUCUCCCAUUCUUCUCUUUAAAUCUUCUCAAGAUCUGUAAGGUUGGAUGGGGAGUGUUGAUGCACAGCUAUUUUCAGGUCUCUCCAAAGACGUUCGAAUGGGUUCAAGUCCGGGUUCUGGCUGGGCCACUCAAGGACAUUCAAAGAUUUUUCCCGAAGCCACUCCUGAGUUGUCUUGAGUGUCCUGCUUAGGGUUGUUGUCCUGUUGGAAGGUGAACCGUCGCCCCAGUCUGAGGUCCUGAACGAACUGGAGCAGGUUUUCAUCAAGGAGCUCUCUAUACUAUGCUCCGUUCAUCAUUGCCUUGAUCCUGACUAGUCUCCCAGUCCCUGCCACUGAAGAACAUCCCCACAUGAUGAUGCUGCCACCACCGUGCUUCACCGUAGAAAUGAUGCCAGGUUUCCUCCAGACGUGACGCUUGGCAUUCAGGCCAAAGUGCUCAAUUCUUGGUGUCAUUAGACCAGCGAAUCUUGUUUCUCAUGGUCUUAGAGUCUUUAGGUGCCUUUUGGCAAACUCCAAGCGGGCUGUCAUGUGCCUUUUACUGAGGAGUGGCUUCCGUCUGGACACUCCAGGCGGAAGGGCCUGAUUGGUAGAGUGCUGCAGAGAUGGUUGUCUUUAUGGAAGGUUCUCCCAUCUCCACAGAGGAACUCUAGAGCUCUGUCAGUGUGACCCUCAGGUUCUUGGUCACCUCCCAAGUCCCAUGAUUGCUCAGUUUGGCUAGGCGGCAGCUCUAGGAAGAGUCUUGGUGGUUCCAAACUUCUUCCAUUUAAGAAUGAUGGAGGCCCCUUUGUUCUCGUCGACUUUCAAUGCUGCAGAUAUGUUUUGGUACCCUUUCCCAGAUCUGUACCUCUACACAAUCCUGUCUCGGAGCUUUACGGACAAUUCCUUCAAACCUCAUGGCUUGGUUUUUGCUCUGACAUGCACUGUCAACUGUGGGACCUUAUAUAAACAGGUGUGUGUCUUUCCAAAUCAUGUCCAAUCAAUUGAAUAUACCACAUGUGGUCUCCAAUCAAUUUGUAGAAAGAAGGAUUAUUAAUGGUAACAGGAUGAAUCUGAGCUAAAUUUUGAAUCUCUAGCAAAGGGUCUGAAUAUUUAUGUAAAUAAGGUAUUUCUGUUUAUUUUUUUUGCCUUGUCAUUAUGGGGUAUUAUGUGUAGAUUGUUGCCAAAAAAACAUAUUUAAUAAAUUUUAGAAUAAGGCUGUAACAUAACAAAAAGUCUGACUACUUUCUGAAGGCACUGUAUACUGUAUUCUUGUCAAUGCCAUCCUAUUCAACUAUUGCUGUAUAUAUGCUAUUCUAUCCUACGUAUUCUACAGAUAUAAUAAAUAUUCUAUGAAUAGACAAUGUAUACACAUCCCAUCACAGAUAGAUAUACAGUAUAUUUAUAUUUACACUCCGGACUCUGACAUGGCUCGUCCUAAUAUGUAUAUAUUUCUUAAAUCUAUUCUUUGACUUUUAGAUUUGUGUAUUGUUGUGAAUUGUUGUUGACUCCAGACAUUUCGGCUUUUAAUUUUGUAUUAAUUUUUAUGCAUUUCUAAAAACCAAAUUGCACUUUGACAUGAUGGGGUAUUGUGUGACACAUAAUCUCAAUUUAAUCUAUAUUAAAUUCAGGCAUAACAAAACAAAAUGUGGAAAAAUUUAUGAAGGCACUUCAGAAAGUAUUCACAGCCCUUGAAUUUUUCCACAUUUUGUUGGGUUACAGCCUGAAUUUAAUAUAAAUUAAAUUGAGAUUUUGCAACAAUCUACACACAAUAAUCAUCAUCUGGCCUACUAUGGUGUGGUAUUUGGACUUUUGUGUGCUAUAGUGUGAGUGAACCAUCAUCAUGUCUAUUGACAUGCUCUUUGGCCUAUAUAAGAGUAGUGGACGUUAAAUACUAUACAGUUACCUACAGCUGCCACUUAGGCUCUGAAAGGCCAUCUCCGUCACGCCUGUACAGCUUGAUUGAGCGGAGAUGAGGGGAGGACUGGGGCACAAUCUGUUAGGUUUACAGUGGGAUGUUUUUUAUAUUUUUAUAAUGUUUAUUAUUUUACAAUAAAAAAUCUAAUAAAAAAAGACAGCAAUACUAACAAUGACAUUCACUGUACUGUUGAAUAGAAUGGCCAAUUUAGAGGACAAAACAAAACUUAACUCACACACACACACAAAAUAAAACAAAAUCCUAUUAGGUGGUACAUGUAUAAGAAGACAGCAUAUAGUCCUUACAAGCAG